ensembl:snRNA U6 U6 spliceosomal RNA
GUGCUCACUUCAUCAGCACAUAUACUAAAACUGGAACAACACAGAGAAGAUUAGCAUGGUCCCUCAGCAAGAAUAACAUUCAAAUUUGUGAAAUGUUCUAUAUUUUU